AACGCACAUUGCGCCCGCCAGUAUUCUGGCGGGCAUGCCUGUCUGAGCGUCAUUUCAACCCUCGCACCCGGCGGCUCGUCCGCCGGGGGCGGUGUUGGGGAUCGGCCGCCCCGCCCCCGGGCGGGAGGCCGUCCCCUAAAUACAGUGGCGACAGCGCUGUGGCCCCCCCUGCGUAGUAGUAAAAACACCUCGCAGGCGGUGGCGCGACGCGGUCCGCCGUAAAACCCCCCCUACUUCUCAAGGUUGACCUCAGAUCAGGUAGGAAUACCCGCUGAACUUAA
rnacentral:misc_RNA from 1 species